AGCCCAGAGCCUGAAUCAGUGUGUGUGUUAGUGGAAGCGUCUGGAAAGGCGCGCGAUACAGGGUGACAGCCCCGUACACAAAAAUGCACAUACUGUGAGCUCGAUGAGUAGGGCGGGACACGUGGUAUCCUGUCUGAAUAUGGGGGGACCAUCCUCCAAGGCUAAAUACUCCUGACUGACCGAUAGUGAACCAGUACCGUGAGGGAAAGGCGAAAAGAACCCCGGCGAGGGGAGUGAAAAAGAACCUGAAACCGUGUACGUACAAGCAGUGGGAGCCUCUUAAUGGGGUGACUGCGUACCUUUUGUAUAAUGGGUCAGCGACUUAUAUUCUGUAGCAAGGUUAACCGAAUAGGGGAGCCGAAGGGAAACCGAGUCUUAACUGGGCGUUAAGUUGCAGGGUAUAGACCCGAAACCCGGUGAUCUAGCCAUGGGCAGGUUGAAGGUUGGGUAACACUAACUGGAGGACCGAACCGACUAAUGUUGAAAAAUUAGCGGAUGACUUGUGGCUGGGGGUGAAAGGCCAAUCAAACCGGGAGAUAGCUGGUUCUCCCCGAAAGCUAUUUAGGUAGCGCCUCGUGAAUUCAUCUCCGGGGGUAGAGCACUGUUUCGGCAAGGGGGUCAUCCCGACUUACCAACCCGAUGCAAACUGCGAAUACCGGAGAAUGUUAUCACGGGAGACACACGGCGGGUGCUAACGUCCGUCGUGAAGAGGGAAACAACCCAGACCGCCAGCUAAGGUCCCAAAGUCAUGGUUAAGUGGGAAACGAUGUGGGAAGGCCCAGACAGCCAGGAUGUUGGCUUAGAAGCAGCCAUCAUUUAAAGAAAGCGUAAUAGCUCACUGGUCGAGUCGGCCUGCGCGGAAGAUGUAACGGGGCUAAACCAUGCACCGAAGCUGCGGCAGCGACACUAUGUGUUGUUGGGUAGGGGAGCG
rnacentral:rRNA from 1 species